UCUCCUCGUGCAAUUUUUCAGC
rnacentral:siRNA from 1 species